GAUGAACGCUGGCGGCGUGCCUAAUACAUGCAAGUCGAGCGAACAGACGAUGAGCUUGCUCCUCUGACGUUAGCGGCGGACGGGUGAGUAACACGUGGAUAACCCACUUAUAAGACUGGGAUAACUUCGGGAAACCGGAGCUAAUACCGGAUAAUAUAUUGAACCGUAUUGUUCAAUAGAGAAAUACGGUUUUUCUGUAACUUAUAGAUGCAUCCGCGCCGGUUUAGGUAGUUGGUAAGGUAACGGCUUACCAAGGCAAGGAUGCGUCACCGAGCUGAGAGGGGGAUCGGCCACACUGGAACUGGGACACGGUCAAGACUCCUACGGGAGGGAGCAGUAGGGAAUCUUACGCAAUGGGCGAAAGCUUGACGGAGCAACGCCGCGUGAGUGAUGAAGGUCUUCGGAUCGUAAAACUCUGUUAUUAGUGAAGAACAAAUGUGUAAGUAACUAUGCACGUCUUGACGGUACCUAAUCAGAAAGCCACGGCUAACUACGUG
rnacentral:rRNA from 1 species